rnacentral:misc_RNA from 1 species
GAAAUGCGAUAAGUAAUGUGAAUUGCAGAAUUCAGUGAAUCAUCGAAUCUUUGAACGCACAUUGCGCUCUUUGGUAUUCCGAAGAGCACGCCUGUUUGAGUAUCGAAAAAACCAUCACGACUUGGUCUUGGAGUUCGCUCCGAUCGACUUUGAGACGUGGAUUUGGAUUGUCCUGCCGGAUUCGUUCGGUCAGGCAGUCUCAAAAAAGAGCGUUGGAAGCUGGAUCUCCUCUUACUGGGAUCGCUGCCCGAAAUGUUAUGAAUUGAGGUCCCCUCUCUGAGGGGAUAUCUUCAUUUUUCUUUCUUGCAGUUCGAGCCCGGUGGAGAACCGGUCGACCGAUAAACCCACUACCACACGAGGGGUCGCGCUUGCGCGAUUCGUCGAAAACUUGGUCUCAAAU